rnacentral:miRNA from 1 species
CCUGGGUGGGAAGACCCCUCUG